rnacentral:rRNA from 1 species
AUACGGAGGGUGCAAGCGUUACUCGGAAUCACUGGGCGUAAAGGACGCGUAGGCGGGAUGCCAAGUCUGAUGUGAAAUCCUACAGCUCAACUGUAGAACUGCAUUGGAAACUGGUAACCUAGAGUAUGGGAGGGGGAGAUGGAAUUAGUGGUGUAGGGGUAAAAUCCGUAGAUAUCACUAGGAAUACCUAAAGCGAAGGCGAUCUCCUGGAACAAUACUGACGCUAAGGCGUGAAAGCGUGGGGAGCAAACGGGAUUAGAAACCCUUGUAGUCC